GCCUCCACAACCCCCGCCCCCCCCGCCCCCGCCACUGUCACCGCCCUGCUGCUCUCACUCACACUCGCCUGAAAUCCCAGAGCAGAGUAGACGCUCGUACCCCAGGGCAGGAAGGCACCACGGCAUCCGUCCCGUUUAGGGACCUCAGAGGAAGCCCGGUCCCCAGGCACAUGGCCAGAGAGGGCUGUCACGGCUUGAGUCACCAGUGUCCCCAGCCGGGAGCCAUUGCGGAUUUAGCUAACCUACUGUUUUCAUGGAACAUCGCGCAUGGCUCCACCACGUCCCUGCAAGGAGCUCCCGGAACUUGAGGUUUCAGGAGCGUAGUGAGUCCUGCAGGAAUUCGCCACAGUCUGGUCAAGGCAGUGCCCGCGGACGGACCCUGAGCAGCUCCCAUGUGUUUGCAAGCUCUCUGUGGUGAACAAGCUGGUGCACAAAUAAAUCUUUGCAUCCUGA